AUGAACGCUGGCGGCGUGCCUAAUACAUGCCAGUCGAGCGAGCAGACGAGGAGCUUGCUCCUCUGACGUUAGCGGCGGACGGGUGAGUAACACGUGGAUAACCUACCUAUAAGACUGGGAUAACUUCGGGAAACCGGAGCUAAUACCGGAUAAUAUAUUGAACCGCCUGGUUCAAUAGUGAAAGACGGUUUUGCUGUCACUUAUAGAUGGAUCCGCGCCGCAUUAGCUAGUUGGUAAGGUAACGGCUUACCAAGGCAACGAUGCGUAGCCGACCUGAGAGGGUGAUCGGCCACACUGGAACUGAGACACGGUCCAGACUCCUACGGGAGGCAGCAGUAGGGAAUCUUCCGCAAUGGGCGAAAGCCUGACGGAGCAACGCCGCGUGAGUGAUGAAGGUCUUCGGAUCGUAAAACUCUGUUAUUAGGGAAGAACAAAUGUGUAAGUAACUAUGCACGUCUUGACGGUACCUAAUCAGAAAGCCACGGCUAACUACGUG
rnacentral:rRNA from 1 species